CAGCUUGCUGCCGGCAGAGGCGGGGUCACGGGGGCCUUGGUCCUGCCGGCCUGGAAGACCCACGCCCGCGCCCUCCGGGGUGCCCGGCCCGGACGCUCUCCUGCCCGGCGGAGGCCGCCCUCCCCCGCCCCGCACUUGUCCCGCCCCGCCAGGGUGGCCGCCCGCGCCUCACUUGUCUCUCACGGCCUGGAUGGCCUCCGCUGCACUCUCGUAGUUGUGCUUCUCCAUGUGCCGGUACAUGGUGCUCAGCUCCACCUGGCGCCGGAAGUAGAUGUCCACGGAGCUCUGCUUCACCGUGGCGUAGAUAAACUUGUCCGAGGGGUUCCUCAGCUGCAGGGUCGGAGGGCAGGGCUCGCGGCGGCGGCUCCCCAGGCCCCUCCCCGAGGCCGACCCCCGCUCAUCUCGCAUUCCCUCCCCCAGCCCGGCCAGGCCUCACCCGAGGGUCGUUGAUGCCGGUGAUGCGCUCCUCCGGCCGGUCCAGCACCAGGAAGGCCGCCAGGUUGGCGGUGUAGGAGGCCACGAUAAUCAUGGCAAAGCCGGCCCACACCAUGCCCAGGAUACGCGCCGAGAAGCUUCUGGGGGCGCCUGUGGGCGGGCGGGGGGCUCUGUCAGACCCUAGAGGGCCGGGGCGGGGCCGGGCGGGCCGGGCGGGGCCUUACCUUCCCCGAUGCCGGAGUUGAGCAGGACGCCCCAGGAGAACCACAUGGCCGAGGACAGGGUCAGUGCGUCCUCCUCCUCCUCCUCGCUGUUCACCUUGAACCGGCCGAAGGGGCUGCGGGGCGCAGAGGGCGGGCGGGAGAGAGGGCGGGAGAGGCGGCCCUACCCCGCCCCUCGCCGGCCCCGCCCCCCCGAUGGAGGUGUCUGAGCCCCGGGUCGCGCUCACCUGAAGCGGUCCAGCAGGUACAGCAUCACGGCCACCACGUGCACCGACAGCCCCACCAGCAGCCACAGUGUGCUCUGGAACGGCUGCAUGAACGAGUCCAGCGUGCUCCGGGGGAUUUCCUGCAGGGGGACGCGAGGUCAGCGCGGCCCGGGCCCUCCAGGGACCCCCAGCCAUCCGGCCUCUGCACACCUUCUUGACCAGAAUAGUCAGGCCCUGGUACUUGAAGGGCUUGGAAAACUCGAUGUACUGCGCGCGCUCGUUGUUGAUGGUUAGCGGCGCCACGAUCAUGUCUGCCUGCCCGCUGAGCAGCUCGCCCAUCAUCCCAUUCCACUCCUUCUUGUUGCUGUUGUUCACCUGCGAGGCCACAGAGCCGGCGGGGAUGCAGGCAGCGUCCACCCAGCUCCCGCCACAGGCCCCUCUCACGCUGGUCCCCACCCCGGCCGUCCAGCCUACCCGCUCCUGUGUGCCGAACUUGCCAUCUGCCACCAGGUGCACCUCGUAGGUGAAGUUCAUGGUCCGUGCCAGCUUGAUGAGCAGGUCGAUGCAAAAGCCGUAGCAACACUGAGGCACCGUGUGGCGAGCUGAGUAGGUGCGGGCGGUAACUGCUGGGCUCCAGACCGCCCUGCGCCCCGCGCCCUGUCCCGCGCCCCACGCCCUGUCCCGCGCACUCACGGCUGCCCGGAGACGUGUCGUUGGGCCCGGUGCAGAUCACCUUCUUGACUGGGUCGCCAUUGACUGUGAACUCCUCCUUGCAUGUCCCAUCACUCAGCGUGGGCUUGACGUACACGAAAGGCUCCUGGUGGAUCGUCACAAUCUGGGGGGGAAGGGGAGACCCAGCUGGACCACCGACCUAGGGCUGCCCAGGGCGGCAGUCUCUUCUCAGUUCCCAGCCUCCCCUGGCGCCCCUCUUAAUCCCCGACGCCCCCUCCUCCCCCGCCCUGCGCUGCUGGCCACUGCCCCUCUUUGGAGCUUCUUCAGGAGCCCAGGUGUUCAGGACACACCCACCAUCAGCAUCAUCUGCUUGCAGCCCCGGGGGAUGGGGGCUGGGGGCUCGGAAAAGACUGCUGGAACGCUAGACCCUUCUCUUGGCCACUUUUCCUCUAGUCUUGGCUUAGACGUGAUUCCCUCCAGCAGGGGAGCCGCUGAUGUCCCUUGUAUGCCAGCCAUCUUCCCGGGGUGAGAAACUGCCCAGCCUGCAGGCUGACUCCCACCCUGCUGUGCCACGAGGACAGGGGCACGUCCACGAAGCCGACCCUGCGCCUGCACAGGACCUGGGACCCGAGGGGGCACCCACCCGUGCCUCCCUUCAUCCCGGUGCCCUGACUGUCCUGGCCCCCAGCUCCGCAGCCUUCAGGCUUUGAGCAUAGGUCUUUGGCUCCUUCCUUUUGCCGGAGUGGACAUGUUCCACCGCUCCGUGGCCUCUUCAAACCACACUCCUGCUUGGGCUCACCCUCCUGUCUGUCCUUCAGGGGACCAUGGCCUGGGGGUGGGGAAGGGAUCUGGGGCACAGAGAGCUGGAAUGGAGCAUAGCACACUGCCAGAACUCUGAGGGGAGAUGAUAUCAGAGCUGAGCCCUCAAGGUGGGCAGGGAUCAAGCAGGUGCCCGAGGGCAGGUGGAGCAGAGGUGCCUGCAGUCCAGAACUGCAAAGGCAGGGAGGUGUGGGGGUGGUGGAAGAGGCACCCUCCCGGCAUGUCCUAGGGAGGGUGAGCCUGAGAGCGGUGCAGGCUCAACCUCAGCCUCCAGGCAGCAUUUCGUCUUUUAUCCCCAGGGGGAUCAGGAGCCAUUGAAGAAGUUGAUUUUCUUUUCCUUUUUUUCUUUUUUCGUUUUUUUAUGAGAUGGAGUCUUG